CGUAAAAGUGCACCGUUUCUAUUUUUGUGCUCCCCACUCGGCGCUUUUGGCCACUGUUCAACUAUCAACACGAUUAUGUAGCUCCUGCGGCACCUGCGGCACCUGCGAAAUGGAUGGUUGCAUCUAUCGAACACCAAGCGAUGGGCCAUAUGAUUCCGAAUGGCACUCGACAAACACAGACAAAAGGCAAAUAAAGUCGAUGACAGCGACAAUCGGCAGUAAUAAUAAUAAGCAACUGCGCCAGAAUUUAUGCAUUGUCCCGUCGUCAGCCGCAUCCCAAUUAUAGGAUUGCUUUAUGAAACGACUGCCAAAGUGGUAGGGGUCAUUUGCCAAUGGGCCAGCAGGACGCAUGACACCGUUGAGGGAUGUGUUUUGCAUUAAAAUUAAAUU
ensembl:ncRNA lncRNA:CR44689 long non-coding RNA:CR44689